CACAUGCAAGUCUCCGCACACCCGUGAGAACGCUAUUCACCCUUCCCCUAAAGAAAAACAGGACAAGAGUGAAAGCUGGUAUUAGGCACAGACCUCUUGCCCAUAACACCUAGUUCCACCACACCCCCAAGGGUUUCAGCAGUGAUUAAUAUUGUCCAUGAGCAUCAGCUUGAAUCAGUUAAAGAGAACAGAGUUGGCCAAUCUGGUGCCAGCUGCCGCGGCUAUACCAGCAAACUCAAAUUAAUAAUAUUCGGCGUUAAGCGUGAUUAAAGUACUACCCAAUUAAGAUUAAACUAGACAACACUGUGAAAACCUGAUCCUAGGAAAACCUUAUACGAAAGAUAUCUUAACAUGCUUGAACUCACGACAGUCCAGACACAAACUGGGAUUAGAUACCCCACUAUG
rnacentral:rRNA from 1 species